GUACACUCCUGCGGGAGGCAGCAGUGGGGAAUAUUGCACAAUGGGCGCAAGCCUGAUGCAGCCAUGCCGCGUGUAUGAAGAAGGCCUUCGGGUUGUAAAGUACUUUCAGCGGGGAGGAAGGCAAUACGGUUAAUAACCGUGUUGAUUGACGUUACCCGCAGAAGAAGCACCGGCUAACUCCGUGCCAGCAGCCGCGGUAAUACGGAGGGUGCAAGCGUUAAUCGGAAUUACUGGGCGUAAAGCGCACGCAGGCGGUCUGUCAAGUCGGAUGUGAAAUCCCCGGGCUCAACCUGGGAACUGCAUUCGAAACUGGCAGGCUUGAGUCUUGUAGAGGGGGGUAGAAUUCCAGGUGUAGCGGUGAAAUGCGUAGAGAUCUGGAGGAAUACCGGUGGCGAAGGCGGCCCCCUGGACAAAGACUGACGCUCAGGUGCGAAAGCGUGGGGAGCAAACAGGAUUAGAUACCCUAGUAGUCCCAUG
rnacentral:rRNA from 1 species